rnacentral:rRNA from 1 species
CAAUAGCGUAUAUUUAAGUUGUUGCAGUUAAAAAGCUCGUAGCCGGAUUUUGGCUGAGAACGAUCGGUCCGCCGUUAGGUGUGCACUGAUUGGUCUCAGCUUCCUGGUGAGGAGGUGUGCUUCACGGCCACUUAGUCACCGUGGUUACUUUGAAAAAAUUAGAGUGUUCAAAGCGGGCUUACGCUUGAAUAUAUUAGCAUGGAAUAACACCAUAGGACUCCUGUCCUAUUUCGUUGGUCUCGGGACGGGAGUAAUGAUUAAGAGGAACAGUUGGGGGCAUUCGUAUUUCAUUGUCAGAGGUGAAAUUCUUGGAUUUAUGAAAGACGAACUUCUGCGAAAGCAUUUGCCAAGGAUGUUUUCAUUGA